UCCCNGAUGGCCUUGGCCUCACCCCGCAGU
rnacentral:piRNA from 1 species